rnacentral:rRNA from 1 species
AUGGCGGCGCGCCAUCCAUCCAGCCACCACUCCAUCAUCCACUCCAUCUUCACCACCUGCCGCUGCCAGCGCCGCAUCACCACCUCGAACCAUCGCACCAUCCAUCACCAUCUCCAGCACCGUCGUCGCACACCAUCCAUCACCAUAUCCAGCGCCACCACACCAUCCUCCACUCCUCCUACUGCUACCCUCUUAUUCCUCACCUCCGUUGUUUCUCCCCUGAACCCGAACUCCUUCUCCAUCUCCAAACUGCAUGAUGCGCCUCUGAUGAAGCUUUCUCUGAACCCCCUGCUGCUUCUCUCUUCUCCAUGCCCCCGCUGCUGCUUCUUCUUUCUCUAA